CUUCCAAAUUCAGAGAAACCCCGGAAUUAAAGGUUCAAGUCCCUCUAUCCCCAAUAAAAGCCUAUUUUUCUUACUAACUUUACUUACUAACUACUUUUUAUCUUUUCCUUUUUUUUUUUUUUUUAUCUAAAAAUUAAGGGGCUGGGUAAGAUUUUUGA
rnacentral:tRNA from 1 species